rnacentral:rRNA from 1 species
UACCCGCAGCACAAGUGGUGGUCAUUAUUAUUGGGCCUAAAGCGUCCGUAGCUGGCUUGUUAGAUGCCUGGGUAAAUCGAUGCGCUUAACGCAUCGAAUUCCGGGUAGACCGGCAAGCUCGAGACCGGGAGAGGUGUAGGGUACUCGGGGGGUAGGGGUAAAAUCCUGUAAUCCUCCGGGGACGACCAGUGGCGAAGGCGCUACACUAGGACGGCUCUGACAGUGAGGGACGAAGCCCUGGGGCGCAAACCGG